ACAAAUGAAAUGUUUUGAUUGGAUGGUUUUGAAUUGGAUCUCGUGUGUUGUUUGUAUUGCGUUUCACCGUGCAUCAUAAUCUAAGGUGUGUUGGAUCUGCCAUGUCAAUUAUUGAGGCGUGAUCCAACGCUCGGUGUUUUUCUGAUUUUUAAUUCUUUUUAUUUUAUUAUUUUUAAUUUAUUUUUCUUUUAAAAUUCAUAGUGUAAGACCCCAAUUUUGACCCUAAGAUCCCUCAUGCUAUCUCAUCAUUUGCAUUGGCUUUGGGAUCACACCUUGG
rnacentral:lncRNA from 1 species